GCCGGCUUGUCACCCAUUGCUGAGAAAGACCACAGGAGAGGCGGUGUGAGCCGAAGGUGUACAGAUCCAAGGGCCACUCACUCGGGGAGUUUGUUCAAAGCAGAGGAGGGAAGUGUUGGGCUAAUCUCAUCAGAUGACAUCAAGCUAGUCCAGCCUUUACCUGGUACCUGAGGACAUUCACUCGACAGCUGCAAGCCCCUACCAGGACUGAAGGUUGAGCCAUUGAGCCUCACUACCAAAUGAUACUUCCUGGCCUAGCCUCCAGUAUUCUUGGGGGGAUACAAUAAACUGGGGCUGAAGCAAUAAACUGGCACUUGUCAUGCACUGGGCACACCUGA
rnacentral:sRNA from 1 species